CACUGCUACUCCUUCAGCUAAGUUACCAACUCGUCGACUGACCAAUAAUGCUGCUGCGGCAUUGAGUAUCUGCAUAUACAUUUACACACAGAGGACAUAAGAAAUAUGGAAGUAAGAAUGGUCAAAGCAGAACUUGGACUUUUGAGGCUUGAUGUGGUCGGUGCACAAUACCAAAAGAGUUUUAAUUUUGUAUACUGGCAUUGUUUCGAGUUUCUACAUCUAGCGUUACGACCUUUAUCACAAUGAUGCUGUCCAUAGAACAAGUUAGUUCAUGGAUUGGAUUUCACUUGACUCUCUAUGGUUCCAUUGUGUGUGCUCGGGGUAGAAGUUUUGUAUAAAUGUAUCGUCAUGCUAUUAAGUAUUUUUAUUUAAGUUCUUUUCUUUCUAA